UACCUGGUUGAUCCUGCCAGUAGUCAUAUGCUUGUCUCAAAGAUUAAGCCAUGCAAGUCUAAGUACGAGCUCUCGUACAGUGAAACUGCGAAUGGCUCAUUAAAUCAGUUAUGGUUCAUUUGAUCGUACAGUUUACUUGGAUAACUGUGGUAAUUCUAGAGCUAAUACAUGCGAGAAGCGCCGACCUCGCGGGAGGCGUGCAUUUAUCAGACCAAAAACCGGCCGCGUCUUCGGGCGCGUUCGCCUUGGUGACUCUGGAUAACUUUGCGGAUCGCACGGUCUAGCACCGGCGACGGAUCAUUCAAGUGUCUGCCCUAUCAACUUUCGUCGGUACGGUAUUUGCCUACCGAGGUUCUUACGGGUGACGGGGAAUCAGGGUUCGAUUCCGGAGAGGGAGCCUGAGAAACGGCUACCACAUCCAAGGAAGGCAGCAGGCGCGCAAAUUACCCAUUCCCGACGCGGGGAGGUAGUGACGAAAAAUAACAAUGCAGGACUCGUUCGAGGCCCUGUAAUUGGAAUGAGUACACUUUAAAAGCUUUAACGAGUAUCCAUUGGAGGGCAAGUCGGGUGCCAGCAGCCGCGGUAAUAACAG
rnacentral:ncRNA from 1 species